AGGAGGCUCUGAGCUGUAUAUGUAGGAAGUUGAUGAAGAUUCCUUAUUUUUACUCACUUUUCAUUCUCUUUGUUUUCUUUUUUUUGUGUUCAGACCCCUGUGAUAUACAAUGCAGUCUUGCACCUUGACCUACACGAAAGGAAACCUGCACCUACAACAACAUCCGACAACGAGGCUGUUUUACUGCAAGAACUUCAAGCAUGCUGAACUUGGCAAAUGCAAAGAAGAACGAAACGAGGAGGACAUUUUUACACACAUACAGAUCUCAAGUCAACUCUCCAUUGAACUCUACAGCAACGACAUGGAACUCAUCAACUGGUCAUUGAGCACCAUUGACAAAAUCUUCUCAACGAGGCAAUUGCUUCAGCACGAAAUACCGUGUCCAAAGGACACAUACCCAAGUGGAUAUGUCGUGGACGCACGAGGGAGAAGCCAGAUGCUCUGUCUCUCCCAGCUGAAAGUGGAAGAUGUGGAGGACAUCUAUCUGCUAGGAGUCAUGAUCUUUGGCCUGCUGAUGAUGGGGGUAUGUGUCUGUGCAUGUGCCUUUCUGAUGGAUCGUAAGCUGAGGCGACUCUCAGAGGACACGAAGGUUCUCAGAGAGAAGAAGAACUUCACGUUUGGAGAGUUGGAGGAACGUAAACAACGACUGGAAAAGAAAGCUCGUGGAAAUACGGGGGAAAAAGACUGUGAAGAGGAGUAACAACAGGAACAAUGACUGCAGACGAGAACACAUCACAAAAAAAAAAAAAAAAAAAAAAAAAAAAAGGGAAGAAACGAGGUUGGAUGUAAAAUUAUCUGUGUUCAAAUUAGGGGAC
rnacentral:lncRNA from 1 species